UACAGAGGGGGCAAGCGUUGUCCGGAAUUAUUGGGCGUAAAGAGCUCGUAGGCGGUUUGUCGCGUCUGCUGUGAAAUCCCGAGGCUCAACCUCGGGCCUGCAGUGGGUACGGGCAGACUGGAGUGCGGUAGGGGAGAAUGGAAUUCCUGGUGUAGCGGUGGAAUGCGCAGAUAUCAGGAGGAACACCGAUGGCGAAGGCAGUUCUCUGGGCCGUAACUGACGCUGAGGAGCGAAAGCGUGGGGAGCGAACAGG
rnacentral:rRNA from 1 species